GAAAUUAUAUAAUAAUGCGUUGAUUUCAUGUAAAUCCUAUAUGAAAUGAUGAAUUUAUAAAAGAAUGAUAAACAAAUAAAAAAUGUAGAAUGAUAAAAAAUAGUUGUUUUAUAUUUUAGAAUAUAUUUUGAUGUUGAGGUUAAAUUUUAUAUUAUUUAAAAAUUAUAAAUCCAUCAAAGAAAAAGGAAUAUAAAGUAGAAAGAAAAACAAAAGGUACAAGGAUUGUGUGUCCAAAAUCAGAACACGAAGUCUUUAAAUUAUCCAUGCAAACUCUGUGCCCUUUCUGCCCCAAAGCUAAUGUGCAUGGUGGACCAUUUUCCACUACAUAUGUUAUCUAAUUCAAGCAGAUUCAUAUCAUCAGAAGCCGACAAAUUUGACAAAUACCCAUAACAAUAGUAAUGAUGAUCACGAAACCAAAGUCUUUAUAUACACUUCAAUAUCAGAAAUUAAAUCAUAUACAACCAAAAUCAAAUCACCCUUGUCUUCCAAUUCUAUAUAUAAGUACUCCAAACCCAAAAGGAUUAUUAAAUAAUAAUAAUAAAAAAAAAACCCUUUUCAACUCUGACCACUUGGAGGGUAGUAUAGGACAGAAAUGGCUGCAUCCUCCAAGUUUAUUGAAUUGAAACAGAGGGCAUGGAAUAAAACAGAAAAUAGUGUUGGUGGAAAAGAAGUAGAUAACCCUUUUAAACAAGUAGAGGGUUUAUGAGAUUUAGCAGAUUGAAAAUAGUGAAAGGGUAUAUUGAAGGAGUUUAUUAGUAGUAUCUGGGGAUGGGAUUGGAGGGCCGUAGGUCGAUUUCUUGGGUCCAAGCGGUUCGGUCCUGAACAUGCAAGUGCCAGUAGGUUUGAGCUAGCGAGUCUGGGUCCAUCACCACCCCUCCAUGCAUAUUUUGCUGUUGUUCCCCAACUGAAGUCCUCUGUGAGGUUGAUGGUCCCCUGCGUGGGCCAACCACACCAUCGAUGAUAACAUGGGCGAUGUGCACUCCCAGAGGCUGGAACUCCCUAGCUAGGCAUUGUGAUAGAGCUCUCAAAGCAAACUUGCCACAGCCUGUUCUUCAAAAGAAAGGGGGGAAAAGAACAUUGUUAGAUACAAGGGUUUUCCAAGGUGAAUCUUUUCAACAUCCAAUUUUAGAUUCAGUACUCAUCAAGAGUUUUUUACAUAGUUCAGAGAAACCAGAAAAGCCAUUUAGAGAAGCUGAACAUCCAGUGAAUAGAAUUGUCCCCUUUCCUCUCUCCACCAUGCCUGGAAUUACCUGCAGAUUCCAUUUUGACAAGAGUAACCAUACAUACAAUAACCAAUAAAUACUAAUUAGCACUUGAUCAUCCCAGAGAAUAUCUGAAACCCAGGAGAAUUAAGAGGGAAAACUUGAAAGAAAAUGAGAGAAAGUACCUGCUGGGAGCAAAGAAGGGCACCCACGGAGGAGACGGCAAGGGACUUCUCGAAGGAGUCGAUGCGAAUAUCAGUGAAAUUGGUUGGUAGCCAAGAACCUGGCUGAUACGCAUUAUAGACAAGAACUUCUACAAAGCCCAGUGAAAGAACACCUUCAAAUGCUUCUCUUACACUUCUUGAGUCUGAGCAGUCUAUCCUUAUAGCAAACACUUGAGCUUUCUCUUCCCUCGCUAUCUCUUCUGCGAAUCUCGAUAAUCUCCCUAAGUCGCGGGAAAGGAUGGCCACAGCGUAGCCUUCAUGGGCAAACUUGCGAGCAAUGGAUCCGCCAAGCUUUGGACCCACGCCUACAAUGGCAGCAAUGCCUUUUGGGGUGGCGGAGAUGGCCAUGCUCCGCAUCUUGGCUGAACCAAAAUUACUUUCCUGUCGCUGAAUGAAAUAAUGCAAGCUUCCAAAAAGAACCCAAAUUCUUGAAUAGUUGGAGGAGUACUUAGAAUUUCUUGGAGAAGAAAAUUGAGUGAUUUGUGGAAAGAAAAAGAAAAAAGGAAAAAAGAGAGAAACGAUGAAUGGGAAGUAGACUCCUGUACUGUAGUUCUACAAUAACAAUCUUCUAGUUCUUGUGGCUAUCUAAGUCGCUGCCUCCUUGUCAAUAGGCAAUUUUUUGUUAAGUGUUGCCUCCUUAUAAUUAUUAUAAUCUCUCUCUUUCUCUCUCAUCUUCUUCUUCCUCCUCUCUGUUUCUGUUAUUUUCUUCCUACUCUGUUAUCUUCUUCCUCCUCUCCCACUCUUUUCUUUGGAACGCAGCAGCACUGCGGCAGUUUUCUUUUUUUUCUUCUUUCCUUUUCCUUCUUCUUCUCCUCCUCCUUCUCGCCUGACGCUGAAGCGAUAGCUUCUUUGUCCUCCUUAACGAGCUGAGACAUUGCAUUAGCGUUUAUAGAAGAGAUCAAGUAAGGACAAAGGGACCUUCGCGCACUCGAUCUGAGAGCGAGCGAACGAGAGGGAGGGACCAAACAGAGCUUCGAAGACAAGAAAGGAAAGGAAAGGGAAACCCUAGGCGAUGGUAUGCUACAGAGAAAUGUGGGAGGAAUAGCGGAAAGGAUCAUAUCUCUCUCAUAAACUGAAAAUGGAGUAUAGCGAGUGCUUGGCUCUUCUUUCUAUUAUCUGUUGAGAACGGGAAGAGAUAUCUCGUGGUUAUAAGGUUGCGGCUGGCUGAUUGGAGGCUACCGUUCUCUGCGACGCUCUUUAUUUGCUGAGAUGUGUCUCCUAACUCUCCGAACCACACGUAACUCUGAGGUGGAAGGAGUAGCAGAG
rnacentral:misc_RNA from 1 species